rnacentral:rRNA from 1 species
ACGGGGUGCAGCAGGCGCGAAACCUUUACACUGCACGCCAGUGCGAUAAGGGAAUCCCAAGUGCGCAGGCAUAGAGCCUGCGCUUUUGUACACCGUAGGGAGGUGUACGAAUAAGGGCUGGGCAAGACCGGUGCCAGCCGCCGCGGUAAUACCGGCAGCCCGAGUGAUGGCCGAUUUUAUUGGGCCUAAAGCGUCCGUAGCUGGCCGCACAAGUCCAUCGGAAAAUCCACCCGCCCAACGGGUGGGCGUCCGGUGGAAACUGUGUGGCUUGGGACCGGAAGGCGCGACGGGUACGUCCGGGGUAGGAGUGAAAUCCCGUAAUCCUGGACGGACCGCCGAUGGCGAAAGCACGUCGCGAGGACGGAUCCGACAGUGAGGGACGAAAGCCAGGGUCUCGAACCGGAUUAGAUACCCGGGUAGUCCUGGCCGUAAACAAUGUCUGUUAGGUGUGGCUCCCGCUACGAGCGGGUGCUGUGCCGUAGGGAAGCCGCUAAACAGACCGCCUGGGANNUACGUCNNCNAGGAUGAAACUUAAAGGAA